rnacentral:sRNA from 1 species
AUAAGCUAUUCUCUAUGUUGUGUUGAUCUCUAUACCCUCUUACAGAGCACUCGAUUUUUCCAGACCCGCAGUCUCCCGUAGCGCAGAAGAAGUUCCCUGUUGAGCUGGUGGAGCAGAGAGACCUACCCCAAAAACGACCAGUCCAUGACAACGG